rnacentral:lncRNA from 1 species
UGUUGAAUUGUCUGUAUGAUGCUCUUAUACAUGUAAGGUCCUUUCAGUCCGUCAACCCCAAAUCAACAAUUACGGUUCUUCAUUUCACUUUCAUUUGUAGCAGUUCUUUAUCUUUUAUUUUCAAUCUUCCUUCUCAUUUCCCUUACAUUUAUUGCAUACUCAGAAUGUAUUGUUGAUCACUCAUUAAACCAUCUUCAAGAUUUCCUUAAUUCCAAAAUUGAUGCGAUUAUCAAUACAAAUAAAAAGUUAAAUACAACCGAUGUAGCUCAUAUAACCUUGUUUCACGAAUAUAUGUGUGUGUGUGAGCUACUUUACUCAUAAAUUGGCAUGUGACACUUUCUACCUCCUUGAGAAGAUCUAAGAAGUCAAAGGAGUAAACAAACAUUUCGUCCAGAUGCAUUAUUCAAGUUUAAGUCAUGAACGAUACUAAGAGUCACAUCGCAACUUCAAUUGCUUUUCAGAAGACGAGACCUUUCGAGUAGUGCGAUGGCUUCCAAAACCUCCAGUAAGAUGACCGAUGACCUUUGGUAAAAUAGGUCCAUAAGUAAUAUUAUGAUAACAAAACUUGUGUGCAGGGCAAAUUGGAAAGAAUUAUGACUUACUGAAACCAAGAAAAUAUAACAAAAAUGAAUGUAGAAAAUGAGAUUUGAUUGACAUAAGAGUUCGACUCUUGUCCUUAAGAUGAUAAUGCCCCACACAUUGCUAAAGAUUUUCAACAAUUUUCUAUCAAGAUACAACGUUCAUGUCCCUCAAUAGGAGCACUC